UACGUAGGGGGCAAGCGUUGUCCGGAAUCAUUGGGCGUAAAGCGCGUGUAGGCGGCCCGGUAAGUCCGCUGUGAAAGUCAAGGGCUCAACCCUUGGAUGCCGGUGGAUACUGUCGGGCUAGAGUGCGGGAGAGGCGAGUGGAAUUCCUGGUGUAGCGGUGAAAUGCGCAGAUAUCAGGAGGAACACCAAUGGCGAAGGCAGCUCGCUGGGACGGUACUGACGCUGAGACGCGAAAGCGUGGGGAGCAAACAGG
rnacentral:rRNA from 1 species